rnacentral:rRNA from 1 species
AUUGAACGCUGGCGGCAGGCUUAACACAUGCAAGUCGAGCGGAGUGAUGGUGCUUGCACUAUCACUUAGCGGCGGACGGGUGAGUAAUGCUUAGGAAUCUGCCUAUUAGUGGGGGACAACAUCUCGAAAGGGAUGCUAAUACCGCACACGGCCUACGGAAGAAAGCAGGGGAUCACUUGUGACCUUGCGCUAAUAGAUGAGCCUAAGGCGGAUUAGCUAGUUGGUGGGGUAAAGGCCUACCAAGGCGACGAUCUGUAGCGGGUCUGAGAGGAUGAUCCGCCACACUGGGACUGAGACACGGCCCAGACUCCUACGGGAGGCAGCAGUGGGGAAUAUUGGACAAUGGGGGGAACCCUGAUCCAGCCAUGCCGCGUGUGUGAAGAAGGCCUUAUGGUUGUAAAGCACUUUAAGCGAGGAGGAGGCUCUUUUGGUUAAUACCAAGAUGAGUGGACGUUACUCGCAGAAUAAGCACCGGCUAACUCUGUGCCAGCCGCCGCUGUAA